ACAGCCAUACCAUGCUGAAUAUACCGGUUCUCGCUAGAUCACCGAAGUCAAGCAUCAUUGGGCGCGGUCAGUACUUGGGUUGGUAUUCA